UACGGAGGGGGCUAGCGUUGUUCGGAAUUACUGGGCGUAAAGCGCACGUAGGCGGCUUUGUAAGUUAGAGGUGAAAGCCCAGGGCUUAACCCUGGAAUUGCCUUUAAGACUGCAUCGCUAGAAUCGUGGAGAGGUAAGUGGAAUUCCGAGUGUAGAGGUGAAAUUCGUAGAUAUUCGGAAGAACACCAGUGGCGAAGGCGACUUACUGGACACGGUAUUGACGCUGAGGUGCGAAAGCGUGGGGAGCAAACAGG
rnacentral:rRNA from 1 species